UACGGAGGGUGCUAGCGUUAUUCGGAAUUAUUGGGCGUAAAGGGCUCGUAGGCGGCUAAUUAAGUCCGACGUGAAAUCCCCAAGCUUAACUUGGGAACUGCGUCGGAUACUGGAUGGCUUGAAUUCGGGAGAGGGAUGCAGAAUUCCAGGUGUAGCGGUGAAAUGCGUAGAUAUCUGGAGGAACACCGGUGGCGAAGGCGGCAUCCUGGACCGACAUUGACGCUGAGGAGCGAAAGCUAGGGGAGCAAACGGG
rnacentral:rRNA from 1 species